GUGUUCUCUUCGGCAGCACAUACUAAAACUGGAAUGAUGCAGAGAUUAGCAUGGCCCCGGCACAAGGACAACAAGGAAAUUUAUGAAGCAUUCCAUAUUUUG
rnacentral:snRNA from 1 species